rnacentral:rRNA from 1 species
AACGAACGCUGGCGGCAUGCCUAACACAUGCAAGUCGAACGGGAUCCUAGCUUGCUAGGUGAGAGUGGCGGACGGGUGAGUAACACGUGGGAAUCUGCCUUUUGGUUCGGGAUAACCGCGGGAAACUGCGGCUAAUACCGAAUGCCCUCGAGAGAGGAAAGAUUUAUCGCCAGAAGAGGAGCCCGCGUCCGAUUAGGUAGUUGGUGGGGUAAAGCCUACCAAGCCGACGAUCGGUAGCUGGUCUGAGAGGAUGAUCAGCCACACUGGGACUGAGAUACGGCCCAGACUCCUACGGGAGGCAGCAGUGGGGAAUAUUGGGACAAUGGGGGGACAACCCCUAGGAUCCAGCAAUGCCGCGUGAGUGAUGAAGG